rnacentral:rRNA from 1 species
UACGAAGGGGGCUAGCGUUGCUCGGAAUGACUGGGCGUAAAGGGCGCGUAGGCGGACGGCUUAGUCAGGCGUGAAAGUCCUGGGCUUAACCUGGGGACUGCGUUUGAUACGGGUUGUCUUGAGUGGGGAAGAGGUUAGUGGAAUUCCCAGUGUAGAGGUGAAAUUCGUAGAUAUUGGGAAGAACACCGGUGGCGAAGGCGGCUCCCUGGUCCGGUACUGACGCUGAGGUGCGAAAGCGUGGGGAGCAAACAGG